GUCCGUACCGGUUUAGUAAAUGCCUGGGUAAAUUGUGUAGCUCAACUAUACGACUUCCGGGUAGACUGCUGAACUUGAGAUCGGGAGAAGUUAGAGGUACUCCUGGGGUAGAGGUGAAAUUCUGUAAUCCUAGGGGGACCACCAGUGGCGAAGGCGUCUGACCAGAACGGGUCUGACGGUGAGGGACGAAGCCCUGGGGCGCAAACCGGAUUAGAUACCCGGGUAGUCCAGGGUGUAAACGCUGCUUGCUUGAUGUUAGUCGGGCUCCGAGCCCGAUUAGUGUCGGAGAGAAGNUGUUAACCAAGCUGCCUGGGAAGUACGGUCGCAAGACUGAAACUUAAAGGAUUG
rnacentral:rRNA from 1 species